AGAGUUUGAUCCUGGYUCAKAACGAACGCUGACGGCGUGCUUAACACAUGCAAGUCGAACGGGAUUCGGAGCUUGCUCCGAUGAGAGUGGCGCACGGGUGAGUAACGCGUGGAUAACCUGCCCUGGUAUCCGGAAUAACAUCKCGAAAGGGGUGCUAAUACCGGAUAAGCCUACRGGGUCUUCGGACUCUGCAGGAAAAGGUGGCCUCUAUUUAUAAGCUACCGUAUCAGGAUGGGUCCGCGUACCAUUAGCUAGUUGGUGGGGUAAUGGCCUACCAAGGCGACSAUGGUUAGCUGGUCUGAGAGGAUGAUCAGCCACACUGGAACUGAGACACGGUCCAGACUCCUACGGGAGGCAGCAGUGGGGAAUUUUGCGCAAUGGGGGAAACCCUGACG
rnacentral:rRNA from 1 species